GUUGUACAUUUUAAAAAUUUAUGAUAUUUGUAUGAAAGAUAAAAUUAUAGAUAUUUGUGAUUAUUUUCCAUCAAUUUAUCAUUAAUAUAAUUUUAAUCUAACGUCUCAUAGUCUAAUAUAACUUACUAAUCCAAUCAAAUAGUUAUUGGUAAUUAAAACAUUUCUUAAAUUAAAGGGCAAAAAAUGGAAAAAAAAAAAAGAGGAUUUUACAGUGCAUUACUACAAAAUCACAUGACAAUAUUUUUACUAUUUAGAAUGUGAUUAUUAUUUUGUUUAUUAAUCCUCGAAGCUAUUUAUCGUCGAGUCAGUGAUUUUCAGCUAUGACCAAAAGAGCACGUCGUAUAGGACUUGGACCGGAUCAUGGGAUCAUGUUAUCACGUGCCAAACACGUGUCGAAGAAAGUAGUGGGGGCCAUUUAGAUGGCAAAUGAAACGACGCAAUAUCUAGCAUUCAGCCAAUGCACCAACAACAACAAUACGACAAACUCAACUAAUUUUUGAAACCCUUCAAAAGCCCCCUCUCAAAUAAAACUAGGGUCCAGCUAUCAUGCAACAGUUGCAAGUGACACCAAUUUUUGUUUUAUGUGUUCUUAAAUUUCAUUUAACCUCUUAUUUUCUUUUUUAUU
rnacentral:lncRNA from 1 species